rnacentral:rRNA from 1 species
GACGAACGCUGGCGGCGUGCUUAACACAUGCAAGUCGAACGGUGAAGCUCCAGCUUGCUGGAGUGGAUCAGUGGCGAACGGGUGAGUAACACGUGAGCAACCUGCCCCUGACUCUGGAAUAAGCGCUGGAAACGGCGUCUAAUACUGGAUACGAGAAGGGUCCGCAUGGGCACUUUCUGGAAAGUUUUUCGGUUGGGGAUGGGCUCGCAGCCUAUCAGCUUGUUGGUGAGGUAAUGGCUCACCAAGGCGACGACGGGUAGCCGGCCUGAGAGGGCGACCGGCCACACUGGGACUGAGACACGGCCCAGACUCCUACGGGAGGCAGCAGUGGGGAAUAUUGCACAAUGGGCGAAAGCCUGAUGCAGCGACGCCGCGUGAGGGAUGACGGCCUUCGGGUUGUAAACCUCUUUCAGCAGGGAAGAAGCGAAAGUGACGGUACCUGCAGAAGAAGCACCGGCUAACUACGUG